CCGGCCUCAGGAUCACCUCUGGAACCCUUUACAAAAAAUUGGUGUUACAUUAGCUAUCCACCAGUCAUCUGGUAGAGAAGCUGAUUUAAAUGAUAAGUAACAUACCACAGAUAUCCCCUGCUCCCAAUUUCCACAUACACAUACUUCUAUCCUAUGGGCCUCUGAAAAAGAAAUGCCCUGCUGACUUGUACCAAACGAGGGUGAUGUCUCUGUAAUGAUGGGGGAAAUGGGGACGAGGACAAAACAAUCAUCAAACCCAUUUUCACUCACAGCCUAGGUUAAGAUUUGAACUUGGGUCUCUGCAGGUGAAAGCCCAAAGUGAAAUUGGAAAUUGCUCACCCACAGUGCCCCUGCAUCUGACUCCCAGUGCUGCAAGUGGGAAUUGGAUUCUUCUUGCAUCAGUGGGGAAAUAGGUUCCAUAUAUCGAUUGGUUCAUUCAGACAUCAACACUCAGGUAUUUGCAGAUAGCCAUUGGCUUAUGGGUGCUAAAAUCUAAUGAAUGGCAGACUGCAAGCUAUACAGCUGUGCUUGUAACUGGGAAGAAUUGGCUCAGAUGAAGCUGUGUUUUUUUUUGUUUUGUUUUUUUAAGGGCUCAUCAGUCUCAAACCAGUGUGAAGGUGCUUUGCCUCACCUCUGACACCUUCCCCCUCAUUCCAAAUCUAUUAACUAUUGUCUUUCAUGUUCAAAGCCUUCCUUGUCCUGUGACUUGUCAGCACUCCAGCAUCUCGGAGCCAGGCUGGAACGUGCAAAUGUAUUUCCUUGGGAGAAGUCCAGGUUUGAAUGUCCUCCUCCUCCUCCUGAAAGAAUAAAGGUAUUAAAUAUAAAUGGGAUUGUCAUCUCAGGAGCAUGAAGGGUCUAAAGCAAAGCCUUACAGAGGAGAGAGCUGAGGAACAACAGUCCAUCUUGAUGAGACAGGCCUACAUGCCUACCCCUGGUGGCUUUCCAGAUGGAUAUUAAAGAUCCCAUGGUGCUUCUGGUUAAUGGUGGAAGGUAAUCCUGGCCAACCUCAACUGUCUCUCAACAGUGCCCAGGGCUGUCCAAGCUGCUGGUGGGCCCAUAAUGUCUGUUCCUUUUGCUUGCACAAUCACGCUGCAUUGCCAAUAUCCAUUGUUUUGAAGUGCUCGUGGCACCGCUUGUCCCCCAGGUGUAUCCAUCACCCUCAAAAGCUGCUCAGCUCUGCGUACAACACAGCAGAAGUGCUGCUGGUGGAGCAAUGCUGAAGAACUGCAGCAGGCAGACAGAGCCAAUCAACCCAAAGAACAAGGGAAGGAAGUAACUAGUCAGGCUCUCAGAGCUUUCAUCUAAGGAGCUGUUGGUUGAUGCCUUCUCACAGCAGGCUUCCUAUCGUCUACUAGCAAAGCAGACCACGGCAGGAAGUCAGCAGCCCUAAAAGGGGAUAACACCGUGGAAUUGAGUGGAGGUCCAGAAGGGAUGAGUUUUUGGCUCAGUGACUCAGAGUUGCACAACCAAACUAAUGAUGCUUACUUCAGGUAUAUAUGACCAGACUUCAGAGAUGCACUCAGGUAAUUUCAUAAUUGACUUGGAGAAAAUAAAACUGUAUCUACAGAGCUGAAUGUAGCCUCCUGGCCUUCCCAGGACAGCCCUUUUAUACCAGAGCCCUGAGGGCUAGAGAUUCUCUCUCACUCUUGCACAUGGUACUGAUUCCAUCUACAGCAGUGGGCUAGGUGGAGUACAGUGCACACCCAUAUUGGGUGGACAAACUCAUUUGCACGUGCAAAAUUGGUCAUUGGACCCCAAAACAUUGGCUUUGCACAUACCGAUCAGGUGCAUUCCCACUUUUGGGGCUAGGUCAGUUGAACAUCCGCCAGGCUAAACUUUCAAUGGGUAAAUCGUCCUUUUGCAGGUGGAAUUUGAAUUGAACUGGGAUAGAUCCCUCCGGCGAAGUCUCUACUGCAGUUGUUAUGGCAAUGUCCAGGUCAGGAACAUGAAGGGGAGCUUUCCAGGACACGCUGACCUUCAGGCUGUUCUCUAGUUCAUGCAUUUUCAUAAGCGAACUUGAUGCUUUUAUUCUCACUGCCUAGAGUUGCUCUAUAUCGUUCUGUUUUAGAGUUAGUGGCUCUGGCUCUGAGAUUUAUAGCUCCAUUUGUGAUGUGUUUUUUGCUUACCAAAUUAUACCAAGCUGUGACAAGCCCCCCACCUUUUUCCUGUGGAGAGAGAAACUUGUUAAAGCAUGUUCCCAGAAUUAAUGGAUCCAUUAGCUCCCUUGACAAGGCAUAGAGACAGACCUCAUUAAUUCCCGACUCAAUAGGCAUUGACACGCUAAACACCAUUCUUGGGCUUGGGUUUGUCCCAGUGUGGGCUGUGAGUCCAGUGGUGAGAGAAUGGGAAAUCAUUUGGCUGGAACCUUUACUAUCUUCCUGUUUUAUCUUGCUUGAUGUGUCUGGAUUUAAAAGUAGACAAGACCAGGUUCUUGCUAGACUCUAUCAUUGUUCUUUAACUCCCAAAUGGCCUACGUAGCCAGCAGCCCACUUUAUCAGUUUUCCUGCACCGAAUACAUGCCCCCUUCCUCACUUCGGCCAGUCACACCUUCAUUACCUUUGUCUUGACUAUAGCAAUGAGGUCUACCUGGGACUGACGAUGAAAGCCACUGUGAAGCUCCAGCUUGUGCAGAAUAAAGUACCAACCUUCUGAAUGGGGUGAGCUGGUUGGAGAGUGUGACCCGAAGACCUCUUGAUGCUAACUGGCAGAGAGCAUAGGGAUACAGGAAUCCCAUGGGUUCAUCAAAAGGGGUCAUGUGAGGUCUCUAAUAAAAGCUUGUUACAUGCUGGUCCUCUGAAUCAUUGCAAGAUGUAUGUAUGGGUGAUGAUUUUUGCACAGAUGCAUAAAUCCUUAACUAUGUUCUUAAAGCAUAUAAGGUGACAUGCCUUAGAGUUCCACUAGACAGGAAGUUAAAAAUAUUUCUCUCUCUGGCUACAUGCAAAUGAAGUACUGUAAGCUUUCCAACACAGGCCCAUUUCCAUACUAAGUCAAAUGCUAAUGGAGGGAUAUGAAAUCAAUAUGGAAGCAGCACACAGGAACAAACAAGACAUGCGGGGGUUAUGCUGUUUGCAAACUAAAACUGGUUUGGGGGAAUAUUUCUAGGAGGUGCAGAUGAACACUGAGUUAUUCCUUCGGGCUGGGAGGACAAACUGUCAGUGGGCUUGAUCUUAGGAGAAGGGGUCUCAGCCAAAUGUUGGGGAAAGAACUGGGGGGUAGGGGAACGCCUUGUUAGUUAAGCUUAGUCUCUAGAAAGCAUGUUAUGAUUUUGUUUUAUAGGUAACCAUUUGUCUCCCGUAUCCUUACUCACUGUCACUUGAAUCUCUGUUCUUUGAUGAUAAACUUAUUCUUGUUUUCUCUAUAAAUAUAUCACAGUGCUGUGUGUUUAGCAAAGCUGUGUUUUAAGGGAUAACUGCUAAACUGGUAUGUGCUGUUCCUUUGGGAAUGGCAGACCUGGUGAUUCAGUGAUAGCCCAGUGGAUAAGGGGCUGGAUGCUACAGAGAGCACUUGGAGGAUUUGGCAGUUGGUAUGUGCCUGUCACUACCCUCUCGAGAGAGCGAGCAAGGCCUAUGGAGAGUCCUGGAAGGCAGUGCCAGAGGCUGGUGGCUUCAGGGAGCUGAUCUGCAGCAGGUACAGUUGAGACUUCCUUGUACUAAGGGCAGGUGGUGGAGAGGCAGCCCUGGGAAGUGUCACAGAGACCACCUCACAUCUGCACUCUGCGCUGGUGCCGGCAGGCUGACCGGAGUUAGGAAAGCAAGGCAUUCAGAGCUUAAAACAAGUGAAAAGGCUUCCCAGCCCCUGCAUUACUAAGAUGUCAGGUCCCACCUGGUUCUCGGUCUCUAAAGAGUGUUGCCAAUGGAUUGCCUGGUGUUCCUUGAAGGAUUGUUUCAUUAGCACGAAUUCCUUAGGGUGCCUGCCCAAGUUCCUGUCUGCCCUUUUAAAUGAGACAUUUGAGUUGAGCUACAAGUACAUUACAGAAAUAAACAGAACACAGUCCAGGUGCUUCAUGGAGAGCAGGAGCGGGGGCGUGUCCACGGAGGCCUGUGCCUUACAUUUUAAUUGGUACCUAAUUUAAAGCUGGGUCUAAGGGGUGCUGUGUUUCCAUGGGGUUUAACCAGCUAGCCGAGUUCCCUGGCUCCAGUGUGGACUCCCAGCACACGAUUCUUGCAUGUAACCCCAGAGGAGGUUCAAGCCAGAAGCUCCCAAAGGUGCUGAGCUGAGCUUGUCUUAACUCAAAGUUGCAAGGUCAAAAUCUGUGAGGGUGAGACAGAUUACACUUCCCCAUGCUCCAGGAGGGCUGGUAGAUAUUGGUGCCUGCUCCUGUCCCUCUGGAGGGUCUGGGACAGGCAGCUCUAGUUGUUGCCUGGGUUUCCAUAGGAGGUGGUUGAGAUGCAUUGAAUCAAUGCCUCACCUGACUGUCCUGCCCACACCUACUUUUUACCUACCCUGGCUGGCCCCGCCCAUCUGGAGUUGUCCUAGUCCAUCUUUCCUGGCUUCUCUUGCACAAGUGAGCGUGAGGCCACUUUUGCAUCGCUGCAAUCUCCUCCCUAGAGGAAUAUCUACCUUGGGGCCCGUCUGUCUGUGAAUUAGGCCUAGAAAGCAUAUGCCCUCACACACAAACAUCCGAGACUGCAGUUUUCAGAGUAACAGCUGUGUUAGUCUGUAUUCGCAAAAAGAAAAGGAGGACUUUUGGCACCUUAGAGACUAACAAAUUUAUUUGAGCAUAAGCUUUUGUGAGCUACAGCUCACUUCCCUGCAGAUCACAUGUAAGCAAGAAUGUUACAGGACUAACAAUGGCAUGUCUGGCUCUGAAGAGGCAAGUGACGAAGUCCCUGUGGGGAUGGGUUUGCUGCAUUUCCAGUAGAGAAUGUUCCAGAUGCCUCAGUCUGCCCCUAAGCUUGCUGAUGGAAGAAGCAAUCAGCUUUUACUAAAUUGCUGAGGCUAGCCCAAGCAUGCUGGGAAUAUGAAAAUUGCAUGUGGCUAUUGCCUUUUAGUGAGGCUGGGAGAAUCUCUUCAAAAGGUUUAUUUCCCAGGAGCAGGAGAGAGACAGAAAUCAGGUCCGUGCCCCACUGUGUGAUCAAGAAGCAAAAGUGUUUUGAAGCCAGAUUGAUGCUGUCCCAGAGGAUCCAUCACAGAAUCUGGAAGGCCUGCUGGGAACGGCACUUAAAGCAGGGUGCCGACGCAGAGUGCUGUAUAUGCCACUGCUCUGUUCACCGUAGCACUGUCACAAUGGGACUAGCUGAGCUGGUACUGGCAAUGGUAGGGACUUAGGGAGAGAAAAGACCAACAUAAACAAUACCUUACUGCAGCUUGGUUGCUAUGGGCAACAACUAGAACACCAAUCUGUCCCUGGACACCCUUCCAUCCCAAUCCAUCUCCAUAGUCAUCAAUUCAAUGAACUUGACUGGCAGAAAUGUUAUAAUUAAUACAAAGGAAAUGCUUUUUAAUUCAGCACAUAAUUAAUCUGUGGAACUCAUUGCCACAAGAGGACAAAAAUUAGUAGGGUUCAAAAAAAGGGUUAGACGUUUAUGUGCUUCUGUCAGGUGUCAGUUGCAGUAACAAGGGCUAGGCUCUCUAUUGGGUCUAGAGGUUUCUUUCUGUAAGAAACACAAUGGGUGCUUGGCCCCCUAUCCUCCUACUCAUAGUUUUAGUUCUAGGAACUAAAAUCUAAACACACUGCUCCCUGUUACUAUUUUUUCUUCCCCUCAGGUGAGUGCAGGCAAAAGCCUUGGGAACACAAAUUAAUUAACCCAUCCCCCUACACACACCAGAAUCCCUGGCUCCCAGCCAAAGUCCAACCCCUCCUCACUCACAUGGGCAUAGGAUGUGCCCCAGUCUCCUGGCAUUGGGCACGGGUAGAGUGGGUGGAGCCAGUGUGGUUGUCUCUUAUCCUCACUUGUUAGCUCCUAUCCACUUCAUUGCCAUCACUGUACUGAGUCAGCCUGGAUACAGGGCUAUUAAUGCCCAUCUGGUUGGCUUCUACCCCUCCACCAGGCCACCUUGUAUCUGCUUCCCCCACUGAAUCCAAGGCACUUAACUAGCAUCUCCCUCCCCAAAGGCAAGAUGAAUCCCUGCUUGUGUUCUCUCCUGCCUUCCUGUCCAUCUGGCCCUGACUACCCAAUCUAGACUUUCAGAUCAGGGUGACCCACUUUCCCCAGUAACUAACCCCCUGGACUUUCUUACACUUGCACUGCCUUUCACACAGCAGCAGGGCCAGAUUUUUAAAGGUAUCCAAGUGCCUAGUGGGAUUUUCAAAGGUGCCUACCACCUAUUGCUCCCAAUGGGUGUUAGGUGCCUAUGUGUUUGAAAGUCUUGCCCUUAGUCCCUAGAACACAGUUAAUGAGUGUGGAAUGUGGGGAAACUCCAACUGGUAGAGCUUUGGGCACAUCCUAGAACUUCUAGAUCACAUGCAAAGUGCAGCUGUGAGCAAGUAGGAAGCCUCUUAGUUUUUCCCUUUUACCUAUGGUGGGAGGAGCCAGAGAGUUGUGUAUGCAAAUUAAUCUGGGUUGGAACACACUCUUAAAUCUCCCUAUGUACCUAUAGAGGGAUCCAAAGAGCUUCCAUUCAUACAAGCCUGCUAGCCCUAGGGUGAACACAUGGAUAAUGUCGUGACCGGGGCUACACUAAAAAGUUAGGUCAACGUAGUUAAGUCAGUCUAACCCUCACUGUAGGCAGUGCUAGGUUGAUGGAAGAAUUCUUCCAUCAACCUACUUCUUGGGGUGGUGGAUUGCCCACACCGACAGAAGAACCCCUCCCGUCAGUGAAGUUAGUGUCUACGCUGAUGUGCUACCGGGGUCAUUGCAGCAUUUCAAUGGGAGACAAGCCCAUGUGUUGGUGAAAAAGACUAUGCCUCGAGGCAGAAGCCAGGGGCUGUGGGGAACUUCCCCUCUGGGCCAGUUAUUUGACAAAGUAUUCACUACAAGGCUUCUGCAUCCGCUCCUUCUUGUGAAGUAGCUGGCCCUGGUUGGGGGUGGAUUAGGUGGAGCACUGGUCUGGAAGGUCCUUUUGUGGUGGUGCACAAUCUCGCAGACACCGAAUUAAAACCGGCCCUACCAAGCUGGCAGCCUCUGGAGCUUUCUUCUGCUGGCCUUGCCCUGAAGGGAAGGUGCUGCCAGUGGGAUUUCACAACUUUCAGCAGUGACAGCACUUGAACUUCUUGCUUUAAUCGGUCUGCGCUGACCUUGGUUCUUCCUUGUCAUUUCUUUUCAGGCAUAGACUAGACACUCGCUAAGUGGAUUUCAUCAAAGCUUCGCUGGCAUUUUCUCCCCUCCUUUUCCAAUUGCCAAGUGACAGCUCUAUCGUGUAUCCCAGCUCUCAGGGUUGUGCUUUUUCUUCCCCCCCAUUCCAAAUAUGUACACUACUUAUCUGAGCCCAUCACUACAGUACAUGCACCUCACAAUCGCUAACGUAUUUAGUCUCACAACACCCCUGUGCGGUGGGGAAGCGCUAAUAUCCCCAUCCUGCAGAUGGGGAACUAAAGCACAGCGAGGCUAAGUGACUCGCCCACGGUCCCACAGGAAUCUGUGGCAAAACCAGGUCAUGAAUCUCGGUCUCUGGUUGAUAGAUUAGUGGCCUAAUUACUAGACCAGAGGUGGCCAAACUUACUGAUCCUCACAGCUGCAUACAAUAAUCUUCAGAAGUUCAAGAGCCACAAGA